rnacentral:rRNA from 1 species
AACGAACGCUGGCGGCAGGCUUCACACAUGCAAGUCGAACGGGCGUAGCAAUACGUCAGUGGCAGACGGGUGAGUAACACGUGGGAAUAUCCCUCUCAGUUCGGAAUAACUCAGGGAAACUUGAGCUAAUACCGGAUACGUCCUUCGGGAGAAAGAUUUGUCGCUGAGAGAUUAGCCCGCAUCUGAUUAGCUAGUUGGUGAGGUAAUGGCUCACCAAGGCGACGAUCAGUAGCUGGUCUGAGAGGAUGAUCAGCCACACUGGGACAGAGACACGGCCAAGACUCCUACGGGAGGGAGCAGUGGGGAAUAUUGGAAGUUGGGGGCAACCCUGCUCCAGCCAUGCCGCGUGAGUGAUGAAGGCCUUAGGGUUGUAAAGCUCUUUUGCCAGGGAAGAUGAUGACGGUAGCGAGAGAAGAAGCCCCGGCUAACUUCGUGCCAGCCGCCGCGGUAA